rnacentral:rRNA from 1 species
GACGAACGCUGGCGGCGUGCUUAACACAUGCAAGUCGAACGGAAAGGCCCUGCUUUUGUGGGGUGCUCGAGUGGCGAACGGGUGAGUAACACGUGAGUAACCUGCCCUUGACUUUGGGAUAACUUCAGGAAACUGGGGCUAAUACCGGAUAGGAGCUCCUGCUGCAUGGUGGGGGUUGGAAAGUUUCGGCGGUUGGGGAUGGACUCGCGGCUUAUCAGCUUGUUGGUGGGGUAGUUGCUUACCAAGGCUUUGACGGGUAGCCGGCCUGAGAGGGUGACCGGCAACAUUGGGACUGAGAUACGGCACAGACUCCAACGGGAGGCAGCAGUGGGGAAUAUUGCACAAUGGGCGGAAGCCUGAUGCAGCAACGCGGCGUGCGGGAUGACGGCCUUCGGGUUGUAAACCGCUUUCGCCUGUGACGAAGCGUGAGUGACGGUAAUGGGUAAAGAAGCACCGGCUAACUACGUG